UUCUCUUCUCCUUCUUAUUGCAGAAACUUUACAAUCACCAUUAACAUCAACAUUACAAUCAUGAAAACCAUUUUACAUAUUCAUAAAAAAAAAAUCACUAGCAAUAAUGAUCAUCAAUAGCCAUCCUUGAAGGGUAUGCAUCUUCUUCUUCCAGCUCUACUUCUUCACCAAACUAUAUCAGCAAGAAUCUUCAAAUCAACGCCGACUAAACUAUAAAUCGUCGCUCUGCUCCUCCGUCUUCACCGAAGAUUUCCUCAAUUCGAUGGGUUUGUAAAACAAUGGAUUUGGGGGCGAAAUCAGUGGAUGAAGUGUUGGAAGAGAUAAUGAGGAUUCCUAAAUCGCCUUUUCUAUGUUGUUUGAUUUGAUUUCUUAGUGUAACAUUUGCAGUAAAUCAAUAGAAUCACAUCUUCUUUCUUCAUAA